rnacentral:lncRNA from 1 species
UGGUCACUCCCCAGGCAUCCAGCAGCAGCUUCCCAACCAUUCUGACCCCUAAAUGCAUUCUCCACAAAGCAGUCAGAACUGUCCCUUUAACGUGUAAGUCACGUGGCGGCUCUGCUCAGAAUCUCCCACGCCCACUCACUUCUUCCAGAAUAAAAGCUGUGGCGAGGUCUACGAGGCAUGAUCUGCCCGUGGCUUCUCACACGGCCCUCUGCUCCCUCCGCUCCGGCCACCCCGCCAGGCCAGCGCUGUUCCUCCAGCACCCCCAGCACGUGCCUGCCCUGGGGUCUUUGCACCUGCUGUUCCCCUACCUGGCAUCUUCCCCGACGCCCACCGGAGUGCUCCUGCAGGGUCUGCACGAGGCCUUCCUGACCUGCCUGCACCCCCACGCUCCCCCCGUGUGGUUUUCUCUGCGGCUCUCGUUACUCCUUGCCGGCCAUACUCACGGAGGCAGGACUAACACGCGCUGAAAUCCACCCCUCAGUCUACAGCCCCACGAGCUUUGAACCACAACCAACACAGACUCACGGAGGCGGGACUAACGCGCUGAAACCACGAGCUAUGAUCCACAACGAAGAUACAGAACAUUUCCGUCACCCCAGAGUUCCCAGCGCCCCUAUGGCCACCCCACCCCUCCUCCGACCUUCCUCCUGUCCCAACGGCUCAGCGUUGUCCAGAACCUCAAGUGCUUGGAAUCACCCAGGGCCUUGGAGUCUGGCGUCUUUCAGCAGCAAGCCUGCCUUCAAGAACCUGCAUCUUAGAGAAGACCCAGGGGAGGCCUGAGAUUCUGCCAGUCUGAGUCAUCCACCUCACCGAGCCAGAAAGCAGAAAAGAGAUCACCACGUGAGAUUUGAUUGAGAAAAACGAAGGCAGCCUCUGGUUCGUGCACAGGUCGGACGUCCUCUCGGGCCCUGCUCAGCCCAGGGCCCUCUCUGCCCAUCAUCAGAUGUUACCAGCUGGGAGCCCCAGUGCCCCUGAGAACAGACCUGGAGAUCCCUGGGCUGCUGCCUGAGGCCUGCCUCACCUGUGGGGUGGCUUGUGGUGGUUCUUGGCAAGCACAGGGUGGCUGUACCCCCUUGCUGCCCUCAGUACCCACAGAACUGCAGGCACAGCCCCAGGACCCCAUUUGUCCUUGGAGUUGAACAUCCUCAGAAUGCUGUCAGUCCAAGUGCAGGACAGCCCGGGAGAGCUGACCCCGGGUCACAAUGCAGAGCUGUGAACAGGAAGAAUGAUCAGCUUUGGUGCCGGCUUUCUGCGACAGGUUGACUUGUCCGAGUCUUUGCUAAGAAACCAGGCCACCGUCUCCGAUUCCCUCACUGUUUGUAGAACAGAACGAGUUGUUUAUUUGGAGCUGUUUCUUGUGGUCUGGGUUUUGCUGGCUGCAUCCUAAUGGUACAUUUGUCCCUGUUCCUCUGUCCCUGGUGUGUCCUGUGUGUUGGAUCAGGGGCUCCAUGAGAUUCAGAUUCAAUGGCUUUGCUCCAAGGAUGCCACGAGGCUGUGUGCACACCAGGGCUCACCUCACACCUAACUCUCUCCCCUUCGUGACCCCAGCAGCUGUCAAGAAUCCAUGCCUACAUCCAUUGAUUUAUGAGGAUUGCACCUGAUGGGUGGUAUUCUGACCAUCCUGCUCCUUCUUCACUUAUUGAUGAACAUUUCUGGGCUGAGACACUGCCUUUUAUCUACUCUUGGGUUAUUCUAAAGUACCGUUUGAAUAGAAAAGGCAGGAAAAAUACUCCAUUCCUUUCCUCUAAAGGGUCAUGGGCUCAGACUGGAGGAAGUGUGUGACUCUUGGCCCCACACCAACAGCCCUCUAUGCCCUGCGCUGCAGGUGAGGACACUGUGGCCGCUACGGCCAGAGCCAGAGCUGCCCACAGCUGCGUGGCGUGGGUCCCCUUCCCGUCCUCACGGGAGGUCAGAGUGGAGCAGGCUGUUCCUAAGGACCCCUUGAAGAACUUCUUCUGCAACUUUUUUUUUCUUUGAGACAGUUGUCACCCA